rnacentral:rRNA from 1 species
CUGAACCUUCGGGGAACGAUAACGGCGUCGAGCGGCCCAUUGGAGAGUAAUGCCUAGGAAAUUGCCCUGAUGUGGGGGAUAACCAUUGGAAACGAUGGCUAAUACCGCAUAACGCCUACGGGCCAAAUAGGGGGACCUUCGGGCCUCUCGCGUCAGGAUAUGCCUAGGUGGGAUUAGCUAAUUGGUGAGGUAAGGGCUCACCAAGGCGACGAUCCCUAGCUGGUCUGAGAGGA